GAGAAACUAGUAAAAUGUAUUACAAGGCCCUGUCAGGUUCCUUAUUGCGGGUUAAAGGCCGGCGUUUCUCU
rnacentral:tRNA from 1 species